UACGAAGGGGGCUAGCGUUGCUCGGAAUCACUGGGCGUAAAGCGCACGUAGGCGGCUUUCUAAGUCAGGGGUGAAAUCCUGGAGCUCAACUCCAGAACUGCCUUUGAUACUGGAGAGCUUGAGUCCGGGAGAGGUGAGUGGAACUCCGAGUGUAGAGGUGAAAUUCGUAGAUAUUCGGAAGAACACCAGUGGCGAAGGCGGCUCACUGGCCCGGUACUGACGCUGAUGUGCGAAAGCGUGGGGAGCAAACAGGGAUAGAAACCCUAGUAGUCC
rnacentral:rRNA from 1 species